rnacentral:tRNA from 1 species
UAUAAUGAAAGCUUUUAGAAGCAAUUUUUUUACAGAAAAUAGAAUAAACAUUAUUA